GUGCCGAACCCGGUUCUAUCCCACGAAUACUCCACGUCACGGUUUAUCAAAUACAUUUCCCCCUUCAGCUUCAAUCUCCCUCUUCUCCCUCUAUCUCAGUCGAUGCAUACCCUUCUCACUCGUUCUCCCUCAGUCUAAACUCGACGCAUCUCCCUCAACCUCUCACCACCCACAUUCUCUCUCAGACCUCUCAACUCUCCCUCUUCUCCCUCUCGAACCUCAGAGUGAACUCUCACACUCAUUCUUUCUCACCCCAAUCAGUCCCAAACCCUAGAAAAAUUCAGCAACCCGAAGCCAUUCUCUCUCUCGCCCCUUUAAACCAUGCAAGCUUAACGUUUUAAGACCUAAUUUCUUUCAUUUUCAAUAAUAAAAAGGUUCAAAGAGGUGAUGGUCUGAAUCAUCCAUAUUGUCAUUAAGGGCACAAUAAGAAUUAGACUUUGUUGUCAGCUUUCCAAUCUUGGCUUAUGAGGCAAGGCCAAUAUGGGAAGGUGGGAAGUAUGAUGGUGAUGAAAGCAACCUCAUCAAAAUGAAAUAAAUUGGCAAUCUUGUGGUGAGAAUACAGGCUACUGGAGCCGACAUAGUAAAGGUUGCAACAACUGCUGUAGACAUCACAGACUCUGCACGUAUAUUUCAAAUUCUAGUGCAUUCUCAAGUCCCCAUACUGACUGCAGGGGCCCAGCAUGCAUUCCUUAUGGCAUUUCAGCACAUGCAGGAACCAAUGUACAUGCAGGACAAGCCUUUUGCCUCUCAGUGUUUGCCUCUCGGUCAUUUGAUAAUUGGAUUUACGUAUUGUGACUAUCUCAAGAAACUACUAGCUGAGGGCGUUCAUGAAGAUUUUCUGAUUAAUGGUGGGAUCAAUGAACUUCUCCUUGAACUUCAAUCUGAAGCUUAGAGUAUUUUGGAGUAGAAGUUGCAGAAGGCAUAUGCCGAGUGGUUCCAGGCCUCGAAUUAUUCAAGCCAGCACAACCAAGUUAUUGGACGUAGCUUGUAUGCGUUGGUUCCAUACCUCUCAGUAGCUUGUAUGAGAAACAAUAUGUGUUGGUUCCGAGCUUGUAUGCGUGGACCCCACAGGAUUAUGUAAUUUGUGCCUUUUUGCUUAUCUGCUCUUGUUUAGCUGAGGACAGAUGGAGUAAAAAAUAUGAGAAACAAUAUGUGCCAACUGAUUUAUAAACACCAUGGUUGAGAAGUUGCAUUUG